rnacentral:lncRNA from 1 species
GGAACCGCUGACGUUGAAGCGAAAAAAUCGAGGCAGUAUCAGCACAUGGACAGUGACGCUAGAAUAUUUUUCAAAGCGAAGCGUUUCAAGAAGUCGCGUCCCCUCUUUUUUUCGACAUUUUGCCAUUCGCUGGUUACUGACCGUGAACGCGGGAUCUCCAGCUGUGUCAGAGGGUUAUCGAGUGAUUCGUCGUUCGUCGGGGCUACACCGCACUCUCGUUACGUGAUAGAGGCGCACUCGCACUUGUAACGAUAGCAGAGUUAGACGAUUUUACGUUUGCACGUAUAAAACUGUCUAUAACUGUAUCCAGCGGUAUGCGUACACGUGUGAACACCUCGGCGAGCACACAAAUAUAUUUGCAUCGCUGACGCAUGUGUAUGUACGCACUAAAAUAACACAUUGAGGGAAGGAACGAGCGUGAACGCGUAUUUUAUAGUGAUCAUUCGAGCCGGAGUUGUAGAGCGUCAAAUUUAGUGGUGUAUAGUCGGUGUUACUUCGGAUAGAAUGGACGUUCGGCGUUUAAUACUCCUGUUGCCGGUUUCGAUGUUGAUCCUAGUUAUUUGUACAACAUGUGCGAGCGCCUGGUCGUUUCGAAGCCUCGUUGACUCUUUCAACGCGGGCUCCGCCAGCAGGGAUAUUUCGUCGGGGGAUACGGCAAGCAACUACGAGACGACGAAGAAUCUUGGCGAGCAGAACGAGACCAAAGUGGACGGGCCCUACGACUUGGCCAAGAUAAUAACUGCCCCGCGUCGCAAAGUAGUUAAUACGUGCGGACCUGGACAAAGAAAAGAUCGUCGAGGCAAGUGCAGAACUACAUGGUGAUCACGGAGCACUCGGAGCCGGUCAAUCUUUCGAAGGAUUCCAUACUCAAUUACACAUUAUAACUGACGCAAAAUCCAGAGUGGUAAGGACCAUACGGAGGACGAUCGAUAGCCUAAACCGAGCGAUAAGGUCACCCUAGGAGCACGGCAGAGGACUCGACGAGGCAGGAGAACGUGACACACACACUCGGACACAUUCCCACACAGAGAUACGCACACAAACAAAAUACACACCGAGCCCGCGGCUCUGUGUGGCACAGACAUUCCCCUACACACACACACGCGCGCGCACACACACACACACACACACACACACACACACACACACACAGAGCAAGAACGACGGGGGUCUUCUCGAAUUAACUCUCUCGACGUUACAGAUCAAGAUAUAUAGAAGCCCCGAUACACAUACAGAUAUACAUCUCCAAGAGCGUACACAUUUAACACCGAAUCUCGUGCUUUCACCGAUUUCCAACACCGACGAAGUUCCACACGCAUGCACACACGAGCCCACUAAUACCAUUUAGAAUCAUCGAAUCCAACGUUGAAUAAUUGAGCGAUGCUUAUACCAUUGGAUAAUAGCUACAUCGCUCAAUAUACCCACCAAUCUAUAUACAUUGUAUCUAUGUACAUUUUCCUAAUAUGUAGACAAUACACAUAGACGUAUAUGCGUGCGUGUGACACGCAUUAAACCGGAUUUCCAAAAUCGAUUUAUAACAUUAUAUCAACUCAGUUUUCCCGUGCGAUACCUCCUUUCUCUGUGUAACUAUGAGUUUAUACAGUGUACACGUGUAUGCGCGAAUGUUGCCGAUAGUAACACAGCGGCGCGAGGUCAAAACAUUACCGAAUAUUUCGCCAUCGGCGCCCCUCCUCCUUCUAUCCAGCGGAGCAUCACCAUCCAACAAAACACCGGCUAUGGAAUAUUCACGAGAAAUUCAUUACCUUCUGGAAGGGUCGGCGAUCUUCCCUCUGCGGGUACACACAUAAUGGUGUUACAACGCUGAAGCCUGCUUAUGAACAAGAUGUACCUUAUUUCCCGCUAGGCAAUAUGUAUCUCGGGCUCAAUCGUAGCGUGUAUUAAUACACACGUUUUGUACGCCAUACUCGCUACCUCUGAAGAAAUAUACAAUUUAUUCGAAAAA